UUCCUUCUGGUCAAUGAGAUUGUUAUACCUCAUUGACCGGAAGGGAUUCCUUCUGAUCAAUGAGAUGUAACAACCUCAUCAACUGGAAGGGAUUCCUUCCGAUCAAUGAGAUGUAACAACCUCAUCGACCGGAAGGGA
rnacentral:miRNA from 1 species